UACGUAGGGUGCGAGCGUUGUCCGGAAUUAUUGGGCGUAAAGGGCUCGUAGGCGGUUUGUCGCGUCGGGAGUGAAAACACCGGGCUUAACUCGGUGCUUGCUUUCGAUACGGGCAGACUAGAGGCAUGCAGGGGAGAACGGAAUUCCUGGUGUAGCGGUGAAAUGCGCAGAUAUCAGGAGGAACACCGGUGGCGAAGGCGGUUCUCUGGGCAUGUCCUGACGCUG
rnacentral:rRNA from 1 species